AAUGAACGUUGGCGGCGUGGAUUAGGCAUGCAAGUCGAGCGAGAACUAGUAGCAAUACUGGGGAAAGCGGCGAAAGGGAGAGUAAUACGUAGGUACCUACCCUCGGGUCUGGGAUAGCUGCGGGAAACUGCAAUUAAUACCGGAUGACGUCUCUUGACCAAAGGUGUGAUUCCGCCAGGGGAUGGGCCGGCGUCCUAUUAGCUAGUUUGCGGGGUAAUGGCCCACCAAGGCUAAGUUGGGUACGGGGUGUGAGAGCAUGCCCCCGCUCACUGGGACUGAGACACUGCCCAGACACCUACGGGUGGCUGCAGUCGAGGAUCUUCCGCAAUGGGCGCAAGCCUGACGGAGCGACGCCGCGUGCGGGAUGAAGGCCUUCGGGUUGUAAACCGCUGUCAGUGGGGAGCAAAUGCAUCAGGGUUCUCCCUGGUGUUUGAGCGAUCCGCAGAGGAAGCACAGGCUAAUUCCGUGCCAGCCGCCGCCGUAA
rnacentral:rRNA from 1 species